ensembl:rRNA 5S_rRNA 5S ribosomal RNA
AUCUACAGCCAUACCACCCUGUAUGCACCCAAUCUCGUCUGAUCUCAGAAGCUAAGCAGGGUUAGUACUUGGAUGGGAGACCGCCUGGGAAUACCAGGUGGUUU